UACGUAGGCAGCGAGCGUUGUUCGGAGUUACUGGGCGUAAAGGGUGUGUAGGCGGUUGCUUAAGUUUGGUGUGAAAUCUCCCGGCUCAACUGGGAGGGUGCGCCGAAUACUGAGUGACUCGAGUGCGGGAGAGGAGAGUGGAAUUCCUGGUGUAGCGGUGAAAUGCGUAGAUAUCAGGAGGAACACCUGUGGUGUAGACAGCUUACUGGACCAUUUCUGACGCUGAGACACGAAAGCGUGGGUAGCAAACAGG
rnacentral:rRNA from 1 species